UGGGGAAUUUUGGACAAUGGGGGCAACCCUGAUCCAGCCAUGCCGCGUGCAGGAUGAAGGCCUUCGGGUUGUAAACUGCUUUUGUCAGGGACGAAAAGGACCGUGUUAAUACCAUGGUCUGCUGACGGUACCUGAAGAAUAAGCACCGGCUAACUACGUGCCAGCAGCCGCGGUAAUACGUAGGGUGCAAGCGUUAAUCGGAAUUACUGGGCGUAAAGCGUGCGCAGGCGGUUCUGUAAGACAGAUGUGAAAUCCCCGGGCUUAACCUGGGAAUUGCAUUUGUGACUGCAGGACUAGAGUUCAUCAGAGGGGGGUGGAAUUCCAAGUGUAGCAGUGAAAUGCGUAGAUAUUUGGAAGAACACCAAUGGCGAAGGCAGCCCCCUGGGAUGCGACUGACGCUCAUGCACGAAAGCGUGGGGAGCAAACAGG
rnacentral:rRNA from 1 species